rnacentral:rRNA from 1 species
AAGACCUCGCGCUAUUAGAGCGGCCGAUGCCCGAUUAGCUAGUUGGUGGGGUAAUGGCCCACCAAGGCAACGAUCGGUAGCUGGUCUGAGAGGAUGAUCAGCCACACUGGGACUGAGACACGGCCCAGACUCCUACGGGAGGCAGCAGUGGGGAAUUUUGGACAAUGGGCGAAAGCCUGAUCCAGCCAUGCCGCGUGAGUGAAGAAGGCCUUCGGGUUGUAAAGCUCUUUCAGCCGGAACGAAAUCGUCCGGGCUAAUACUCCGGAUGGAUGACGGUACUGGAAGAAGAAGCACCGGCUAACUACGUGCCAGCAGCCGCGGUAAUACGUAGGGUGCAGGCGUUAAUCGGAAUUACUGGGCGUAAAGCGUGCGCAGGCGGCUUUUCAAGUCAGAUGUGAAAUCCCCGGGCUUAACCUGGGAACU